rnacentral:rRNA from 1 species
UACGAAGGGGGCUAGCGUUGCUCGGAAUCACUGGGCGUAAAGCGCACGUAGGCGGCUUUCUAAGUCAGGGGUGAAAUCCUGGAGCUCAACUCCAGAACUGCCUUUGAUACUGGAGAGCUUGAGUCCGGGAGAGGUGAGUGGAACUCCGAGUGUAGAGGUGAAAUUCGUAGAUAUUCGGAAGAACACCAGUGGCGAAGGCGGCUCACUGGCCCGGUACUGACGCUGAGGUGCGAAAGCGUAGGGAGCAAACAGG